rnacentral:rRNA from 1 species
AGUGAACGCUGGCGGCGUGCCUAAUACAUGCAAGUCGAACGGAGUGGCGCACGGGUGAGUAAUAUAUAGCUAAUCUGCCCCUUGCUGGAGGACAACAGUUAGAAAUGACUGCUAAUACUCCAUAGCAAGGGAUGGGACUAUAUCGUAUCAGCUAGUCGGUGGGGUAACGGCCUACCGAGGCUAUGACGCGUAACAUGUCUGAGAGGAUGAUCAGUCAAAUUGUAAGUGAGGCACCGUCGGAACUCCUUCGGGAAGGGGCAGUAGGGUGUAUUGCGCAAUGGGCGAGUGCCAGACACGGCAACGCCGCGUGAAGGAUGACACGUUUCGGAGCAGAAACUCCUUUUAAUAGGGAAGCGGUACCUAACGAAUAAGCACCGGCUAACUCCGUGCCAGCAGCCGCGGUAAUUC